UACGUAGGGAGCAAGCGUUGUUCGGAAUUACUGGGCGUAAAGGGUCAGUAGGCGGCCAACUAAGUCCGACGUGAAAUCCCCAGGCUUAACCUGGGAACUGCGUCGGAUACUGGAUGGCUUGAAUUCGGGAGAGGGAUGCAGAAUUCCAGGUGUAGCGGUGAAAUGCGUAGAUAUCUGGAGGAACACCGAUUGCGAAGGCAGCUCGCUGGGACGUUACUGACGCUGAGGCGCGAAAGCGUGGGGAGCAAACAGG
rnacentral:rRNA from 1 species